AGGUUACUGCUAUCGGUGUUCGCCUAAGCCAUGCGAGUCAUAUGUUCGUAAGAACAUGGCGUACUGCUCAGUAACACGUGGAUAACCUGCCCUUGGGUCCGGCAUAACCCCGGGAAACUGGGGAUAAUUCCGGAUAACGCACAUAUGCUGGAAUGCUUUUUGCGUAAAAUGGAUUCGUCUGCCCAAGGAUGGGUCUGCGGCCUAUCAGGUAGUAGUGGGUGUAAUGUACCUACUAGCCUACGACGGGUACGGGUUGUGAGAGCAAGAGCCCGGAGAUGGAUUCUGAGACAUGAAUCCAGGCCCUACGGGGCGCAGCAGGCGCGAAAACUUUACAAUGCGGGAAACCAUGAUAAGGGGACACCGAGUGCCAGCAUCCUAUGCUGGCUGUCCGGGUGUGUAAAAUACACCUGUUAGCAAGGGCCGGGCAAGACCGGUGCCAGCCGCCGCGGUAACACCGGCGGCCCGAGUGGUGAUCGUGAUUAUUGGGUCUAAAGGGUCCGUAGCCGGUUUGGUCAGUCCUCCGGGAAAUCUGACAGCUCAACUGUUAGGCUAUCGGAGGAUACUGCCAGACUUGGAACCGGGAGAGGUAAGAGGUACUACAGGGGUAGGAGUGAAAUCUUGUAAUCCCUGUGGGACCACCUGUGGCGAAGGCGUCUUACCAGAACGGGUUCGACGGUGAGGGACGAAAGCUGGGGGCACGAACCGGAUUAGAUACCCGGGUAGUCCCAGCCGUAAACGAUGCUCGCUAGGUGUCAGGCAUGGCGCGACCGUGUCUGGUGCCGCAGGGAAGCCGUGAAGCGAGCCACCUGGGAAGUACGGCCGCAAGGCUGAAACUUAA
rnacentral:rRNA from 1 species